CCUCUCAUGGCGUAGUGGUAACGCGCCCCAACUAGAGAUCGGGGAGUCGUGAGUUCGAUUCUCACUGAGAAUG
rnacentral:tRNA from 1 species